GACGACGCUGGCGGCGUGGAUUAGGCAUGCAAGUCGAACGGUAUCAUCCUUCGGGGGUGAGAGAGUGGCGAACUGGUGAGUAACACGUAGGUUAUCUACCCUCAAGACGGGGAAAACCCAGGGAAACUUGGGCUAAUACCGGAUGUGAGCAACUUUUAGUUGUUUGAAAGGUGGCGUAAGCUGUCGCUUGGGGAUGAGCCUGCGUCCUAUUAGUUAGUUGGUGAGGUAACGGCUCACCUAGGCAAUGAUAGGUAGGCGGCCUUAACGGGUGGUCGCCCACACUGGGAUUGAGAUACGGCCCAGACUCCUACGGGAGGCAGCAGUCGAGAAUAGUCUACAAUGGUCGGAAGACUGAUAGUGCGACGCCGCGUGAACGAUGAAUCCCUUCGGGGUGUAAAGUUCUUUUAUAUGUGAGCAGUGCUUCUUAUAUUAACAGUAUGGGGAGAGAGAUAUUAGCAUAUGAAUAAGCAACGGCUAACUCCGUG
rnacentral:rRNA from 1 species